rnacentral:rRNA from 1 species
UACAGAGGGGGCAAGCGUUAUUCGGAAUUAUUGGGCGUAAAGGGCGCGCAGGCGGCUUUGCAAGUGACGGGUGAAAGCCCUCGGCUUAACCGAGGAACUGCCUGUCAGACUGUAAGGCUUGAGACCGGGAGAGGUGAGUGGAAUUCCCAGUGUAGCGGUGAAAUGCGUAGAUAUUGGGAGGGACACCAGUGGCGAAGGCGGCUCACUGGACCGGAACUGACGCUGAGGCGCGAAAGCGUGGGGAGCAAACAGG